UCAUCAUCAACAAACUUACCACGGUCACCAAGAGCUCCAAUGGCUCCAAGCAGAGUGAAGAGGAUGAAAAACAGGAGAAGAGGCUCUGCUUCAUAAAUGGGAAUUCCAGUUUCCAAAUUCAGUUGUGCUAGAAUUCCUUUGCCAGUAAGUGCUUCACCCAACAAUGAUGCCUGCAAAUGCACCAAACCAUGUCCUAAAUUAUCUAAUGUGUAUUUGUGUUGACGAGUGUUAUAAAUAUAAUAUAAAAUUAUUCAUAUAUAUUAUAAGAUGUUAGGAUAGUUAACUUCAUGACAUAGCAUCAAAACCUUGAGCAUAAUAUCAUGGCAUGAAGUCAUGAACCAACUAUCCUAAAAGUUCAAACUCUUUGGUUAAAACACAUACUAAUGAUAACUAUUCAAUUUCAAACACGUGCGCUCAUAGAAUAACCUACUAUGAUAAAAACUUUGAUAACAUGUCAUGAAUCGCCUAUCCCAAAAAUAAAACUAUUUUUAUUUUUUGAAUUCAAGUAUCUUUCGCUGACGCAAUCAUGUCCGAGACGGGUAGAACCAAUAUGGGCACAAACCUCUCCCUAGCAAACAUUUAUGUGUCUCAAACCCAAGACCUAUGCUUAAGCUAAAACAGUCAUGUGUAAGUUGAUUUACACGUUUAAUUGUCCAAAAACUUAGACUAUUGAGUAAAGAAACAUGAAUGACUUUAUUAUAUAUUUCUAACAAUUAGCUACUUUGGCAAUUUGCACCCAAACAUGUCCCUAAUUGUUUUUGCAUGACAUUACGUCCCUUGCUGAUUUAUCAGUGGCUUUGGGAAUUACAUAAGACAAAUUCAAUUUUGAAUGAACAUUUUGAAGUAGUGUUCACAACUCAAUUUUGAAAGAACUCUUCAGAUGUAGCUAUAUAUUCGUUUUGAAUCAUUUUAAAUCUACCUAAUUAACGUCCAAUCAAAGACUCCAAAUUUUCUUUUUGUCAAAGUUGUAUAGUGAGGAAGAAACAAUUGAUCUCAAGUGCAUUGAAAAUAAGACAAGCUAGUUCAUGUUUCAAGGAGCUUACAUAUAGAGCUAAUAUUUAAUUUACUUACCGCAAAACCAAUCAUGGCAACACGACCCACAAAUAGCUCAUUCUGCUUAGUAAAACCAAUCCCUCCAGAAGUGCCAAACACACCAUCUUCAACUUUUGGCUUUUGCUUCACAACCUGAACAAAUCUCAUGAAACUAAAUUCAGUGUGCUCACAAAUGAAGCUUAAGAUUAGAGACAGUCAAGUAAUGUUAUAAAAUUUUCGAAAAUAAAUGCAUGCUUGAAAAUCUUUGUUCAACUUAUUCUAAAUGAAAAGUCAAUUAUGAGAAGAAGCUUCUAUGAGUAGAAUUGAUUCUGAAGAAAGAGAAGUUGAUUCAAGCACGCUAUAAGUACCUUGGGAGGAGGGGCUUUGGCCUUUGAUUUGAAGAGAGCCAGAGUAGUGAAUGUGCGAGAUGAAAACAAGGAAGAGUUUGAAGGAAGUGGGUUGAAUGAGAGCUGAGAGAAUUUAGGCCUUAAUCUCUGACUCUGCAAUAUAGUAAAUAAUUGUGAGAAUUGUAUUACUUUUGUAGUGUCACAUUUGUUUAUCAUACACGACUAUGUCCAUCUAACCGCACUAGUAAGCAGCCAACUAAUUGCUCACUUGGAAAGUCCUACUCCUAUGAUAUGAAAGUCGCAUGAAGUAAAACAAGAAGUUUCAUUCUUUCUCCUAAUGUUGUCUCACUUUCUUUAAUUAUGCUUAAUUAGUGAUGCCUCAUUUCAUUCACCUAAUAUUAUUUUAUAUACAGACCAACUUCAGAGGAUUUAUGCAGAGAUAUGAAACAACAUUUUACCAGGAACUGAAUCCAUUGAUCAUAGAUGAACAAAUUUAAGUAUUCUUAAGGUACAAUUAAACAAAGUGGUUAGUGUCUAAUCUUCCCCGUCAUCUGAAACAAAUUUACCAGUUCCCGGAUUCAAAGCAGCAAUGAAGAAGAAAGCAACGUUGAACAACACUAGGGGUUCUAUUUCAUUAAUUGGUAUCCCGGUCUCAAUGUUGAGUUGUGCUAGAGCUCCCUUCCCAGUAAUAAUUUCUCCAAUCAAAGAGAAAGCAAAACCCAAUUGAGCCAAUCUUCCAACAAAAAGCUCGUUUGAUUUGGUGAAACCAAAUAGAGGACCUGAAAAUGCCACAAAGAAAGCAACACAAAUUAGUGUUUGUUUUGAAAUGUUUUACAUUUGAUUCUAAGACUAAAAUAAAUUAUGGUAAGAAGCUUUUGGAUGUCAUAAUUGAUAUCGAGAAAAAAUAAGUUGAUUCAAACAUGUUAUACAAUUGAUUUUAAAACUAAAAUUAAUUUUGGGGAGAAGCUUCUGUCCAAAAUUGAUCAUGGGGAAAAAUAAGCUGCUCGUAACAUGCAUAGUAAACUUAGUUACCUCCUUCACUGAGACCAAGAGCUCCUCUCAAGCCUUUCCCUGGAGGAAUAACAGCCUUGUCAAGUCCAGUAGGAGAUUCAUCAUCAACAAACUUACCACGGUCACCAAGAGCUCCAAUGGCUC
rnacentral:lncRNA from 1 species